UGGUUACAAAUGGGCCUGAAAAUGGAUUCAGCCCAUGUUACGUUCGUUGGAUUCCACGGCGGCUUCCUCCCAUUCUCGAUCAUCCCCUCCCCUCGCCGGCGCGCCGUCUCCUCCUCCAUGGCGACGCCGACGCCGUCCAGGUUGUUCGAUGGCUCCCUCCCCUCCACACGCCCCCCAGCAUCAGGCGCCACCGGACAUGGGAGCAGGAGCAAGGUGGUGUCGCGUCGCUCCCGGAUCGGAGAGCAUGCUGCCCCCUCGGUUGCUGGUUUGCAGUAAUCAAUUCACAGAUAGAUGUGGAGUGGAAGUGUGGAACCUGCUGUAUAUUAAAAGAAAGAAUAGUUGCACAUAUCUGAAAGUCAUCUUAUGAUUGUUUUAACUUAAUUGGUUAUAGGAGUGAGAUAUUACCAUUGUAGGAGAUGUUCAUAUGCAUUUUUAGUCCAGUAUAUAACAUAAUUGGUGGGAAAAUAUAUCUUUGCAUUGAUUAGUAGCAGAAAAAGGACUGGGAAUUUUAAAUGACUCUACAAUAAUGUGCUUUUUUUUUUCGUACAUACCUUAU